AGUACAAAAAUAGAAAAAUACUUAAGCAAAAUAAAAGUAAAAAAGUGUUUUAAGCAAAAUAAAAGUACAAGGGUACUUUAAAAAAUAAUAAUACAAAAAUACUUUAAACAAAAAUAAAAAAUACAAAAGUACUUUAACAAAAUAAAAAUAUCAAGGUACUUAAACAAAAUAUCAAUUACAAAAGUACUUAAACAAUUUUGAAAGCUUAGGGUUUUAUGGCGGAGGAGGAGGUGACAUAACAACUGGGUAGUCAUCAGGAAGAUUUAAGGGAUCCACAAA
rnacentral:lncRNA from 1 species